GUUCCAGAACAUUUACUGGUGAUGAGAGACUCUAAAGAAGUCACAGCUUGCUUCCUUUCUGAAGAACGUUGUGAUUUUGGCUCACGUGCAGUGCACGACAACUCUUCUCCAACAGCAUGACAUAGUCCACUGUCUCAGGAUCCCAUUUUUCCACCAGCUGCAGAGCAGGAAGGGACAAAUCAAAGUGUGAGCAUUCGGAUCACCAACGCUGUGACCUCGCUGUGUGAACGGGAGCUACUACAGGAAGGAAGCUUACAAAUGAGCUGCAUGGAUCCCACAUUUUGCUAAAAUCAAAUAGGACCUUUCUCCUCUUUGUUGAAUGCCGUAAUACACAAGAAAUAAGCCAGCAGGAUGCUCAUGUCCAAGGUUUCCCUUUAUCUACCACACGAGUUGGCAUGAAACAACUUCUGGGGUUCAAAUCUUCUGAACAAUGAUACAAGUCUUGGCAAAUUUCAAGAAUAAUUUAAAGAGGAAAUAAAUAGCUUUUUGUUUAACUUGGAUCAAUUAUCUCCUAUUGCUCCCAGCUUCAUGCCAGGUACUCUCCACUGUGCCUGGGAAAUAUGAAUCCCUGCCCUCAUGAAAAAACAUUGGCCAUGAGGAUUUUCCCUACAACCCAAGAACUAUUUGAAGUUUGAAGUCUUUCAGCCCAGACAACACUGGCUAUUUUCACCUUUGCCUUCAACUAUAAAGGCUGGGCUCUCUCUGCAGGAGUGGGUAAGUACAGCCCGUGGUGGAGAAGAGAGAAAAAGUCUUUCAGUGCAGUACAGGCUCUAUCACAAUAGAUGGGCCUUAUUAGCCAUUCUCAGCCUCAUAGAUAAUGUAGUCGUGGAUGGCAUGGUUUGAUCUAGUGAAGAAUUGCCCAGGAGAUUGUGUUGACAUCUGAGAUUUAUUUUAAUCCUUUUUUGCAGAUUUUGUAACGAGCAUUGUAACAAAGUACGCCAAAGAAUCAUUACAUAUCUUAUAAAAUCUUAAUAAUACAAAAAUUAGAAACGUUUUUCAUGCAUACGUUCAAUUUGUUCAA
rnacentral:lncRNA from 1 species